rnacentral:rRNA from 1 species
UACGUAGGGUGCAAGCGUUGUCCGGAAUUAUUGGGCGUAAAGAGCUCGUAGGCGGUUUGUCGCGUCUGCUGUGAAAACCCGGGGCUUAACCCCGGGCCUGCAGUGGGUACGGGCAGACUAGAGUGCGGUAGGGGAGACUGGAAUUCCUGGUGUAGCGGUGAAAUGCGCAGAUAUCAGGAGGAACACCGGUGGCGAAGGCGGGUCUCUGGGCCGAAACUGACGCUGAGGAGCGAAAGCGUGGGGAGCAAACAGG